rnacentral:rRNA from 1 species
UACGUAGGGUGCAAGCGUUAAUCGGAAUUACUGGGCGUAAAGCGCGCGCAGGCGGUUUUGUAAGUCUGUUGUGAAAUCCCCGGGCUCAACCUGGGAAUUGCGAUGGAGACUGCAAGGCUAGAAUCUGGCAGAGGGGGGUAGAAUUCCACGUGUAGCAGUGAAAUGCGUAGAGAUGUGGAGGAACACCGAUGGCGAAGGCAGCCCCCUGGGUCAAGAUUGACGCUCAUGCACGAAAGCGUGGGGAGCAAACAGG